GACUUAGCUAACUAACAGUGCCGCAUGCUCUGUUCACUUUUGGCAAAUAAAAGUUUAUGUUCAAGACGUUAAUUUGCCUGGUCAGUCUCUAUAUUAUGAUUAAGAGACCAUUGAGAGCAGAAGAGGAGACUAACGCUGGAAGAUCAUCGACUGGAUCACAGAAAACCAACACAACCACGAGUUAGCAGCUAGCUUCAAAUGGCGAGGCCUUCCUACGGUUAUCACGACGCUGUGACUAUCGACACUUUAAGGAACCAUGCCGGCUGCCUUAAGAGUUGUUAAAUCACUGAAUCCUCCAUCUGAUCAGUUGGUUGAGUGUGUGCCUGCAGUUGAUAUACAUCAGCCUGAUCCUUAUCCAGAGGAGAAGCAGAAUGACAUCAUUCACAGUAUCAAACAGCUGAAUGACAAAGUUGAUGCACUGCAUCCUUUGACCGUCCCUGAAAGUGACGGUUCCCAGACAUACCAGGAGAGAGAACAAUGUGGACCCUGCUGAGACGAUUAUCCGAAGAAUGGCCAGCUAAACCAGAAGUGUGGGCUUGAACCAAUUCCAAGCAGUGCCUGGAAGUAAUGGGGCUUCCAGUAAAGUCACUCGAAGAACUCAAAAGUGCUAAUGACAGACCUGAUGGUGAGGACAAGGGAA